AUCGCGAUGAGGAAAUGAAAACAAGAAGAGAACAAAAGGAGCGCUCCACAUUUGGCUGUUUGCAGAUGAGAUGUUAUACUGCAAAUAAUUAGUCAAGUAUUUUUUCCUGACUUUCCUGCCUCUUUGGAACAAAUCCAUUCACAUUUACUUUGGAGAGCACCGGGACAUUGACAUAAACAGGACUUUCCAACUACUUCAAAACAUUUGGUGACAAAUGAUUUUGGUUUUCUUGUUUUUUUGCCUUUGGAUUUCUUCAUUUUUAUUUUAUUUUUAUUUUUUAGACAAAAUUAUAUUCACUGUAAUGCUGAAGUAAGCAUUUUGUCCUCUUUAAUA